UGGCUUCUCCCUAAAACAGGAUUGAGGAGACGUGGGCAAUAGAAAGAGUCCUACGAUGGGUGGACUCUUGCCCACUGCCAAUCCAAUUAUAUAUAGUGCAGUCGGUUCCCAAUUUCAUAUACAAUUACAUGUAAGUUUUCUCCCAAUUAAAGAGCAUAUAUAUAGGCGUGAGUGUGUUGGAGACAGAAGACCGACAUGCAGCUACCUUCUACAGAGUCUUUAAUAACCAAGAAAAUGAUCGAUCAAGAGUGAAUUGAAGAGCUUGGAUUGAAAAGAGUGCUAAAAGUAUAAAUUUGAUGCUCAAGAAUCACCAAGACAAGCGAUGGAUCUUAGGAGACUAAGAUUGAAGAAUUCAUAUGCCAAAGAUCUAAGAAAACUGAGGAAUGAAGAGAAUCAAAGAUUUGAAGUGAAGAAAAAUAAAUCCUGAAAUCGUCAUGAAAAAGCGUAUUCUUAAACUCUAAAGUUUAUUUUGAAAAAUUACGCAGAGUGAAGUCUAUUUUAGCAAAUUGCAUAAAUUUGAGACGGUUUCUAAAGUUUUCCAACUA